UUCUAGUUGGGCACUUUAGAGAGACUGCCGGUGUUAAGCCGGAGGAAGGUGGGGAUGACGUCAAGUCCUCAUGGCCUUUAUGUCUAGGGCUACACACGUGCUACAAUGGGUGGUACAAAGAGCAGCUAACUCGCGAGAGUAUGCAAAUCUCAAAAAGCCAUCCUCAGUUCGGAUUGGAGUCUGCAACUCGACUCCAUGAAGUUGGAAUCGCUAGUAAUCGCGGAUCAGCAUGCCGCGGUCGAAUACGUUCCCGGGCCUU
rnacentral:rRNA from 1 species